rnacentral:lncRNA from 1 species
AUACAGUUGUACUUACAAAAAAUGAGUUUUGGAGUUAACUGCCUUUUGGGGGCAUUGUAAAUCUUCUUUCCCCGUUGCUUUGUGUGGGCUAACAUCAGCCAAUCCAUUUUACUUAGUGGCCUUUGUGGAUUUUUCUAUCAUGUUUUAAUGACCCUUUUGUGCUGUAUUCAUUGGACCAAGUACAUAGGAGAGCUGUCUAUCACAGUUUAGCACUUUUUUUGCAGUCCGUUUUUGUCUGUGUGAGGCAGAGAAGUGUGAAGUUCUUCUUUCUCUUGGCUUUGUGAUUUUGAAGGUGGGUGAUGCCAGCCCUGAGAAGGUUAUUAUCCAUUCCCUUGAAAACUACUUAAGUUGGCUGUCUGUCUUAGACAAUUAUUUUGGGCUCUAGAUCUUGAAUAAAAACAAAUUUAUAUCACUGAAAACCUUGAUGCAGAUGCCCAUGUCUGACAAUUCUCCAUUCAUUCUCUAGGAAUUUGUUGCUGAACACCUCUAGAGGCAAGUGAUUAAGCAUUAUGUAGAAACAAGGUGCUACCAAUUACAAUUUUCUCCAGCAAGUGUAGAAAAACCUGAGUCCCACACCAGCUUUGAUUCAUUCAGUGCUAGAACUGGUACCUAAUGCUGGGUGUUGGGAAAAAUGCUGUUCUGGGGAGAUAUUUUGGAUGGAUGUUAAUUUUCCCAGAGUGGAUAGGAGUCAUGGAAUUUCUGGAAGGAGUCAAAAGUAAAAAUGACAGAAGGAGAUGGAGUUUCCAGCCUUAUGAAUUAAGUUGUGUGCAUCUGUAACGGAAGGAGGCCUGCCUCAGUGGCAGCAAUAGCUCUUUUGCUCCUGGAGAACUCUUCCUCUUGACAGAGGUCUACAAACAGAUUUGCAAAGCCAAAGAGAGAAAUUGCGCUCUCUCAUGCAGCAUUCAACUUUCCAUUUUCUUCUGGUUCCUGAAUGUAGAAUUGCAUUUUAUUUUAUUCACUUGGAAAUCCUGCUCUUUAAAAUGAAGAGCUAUUCAAAACACAUAAAAGAUCCUGCGAGACACAUAAGUGUUUUUAUCUGCAACCAAUUUUACUGAAAGACUGGAGAAAAGAUGUGGCACAUUCCUUGUAUGAAAUGUUGUAUAAAGAUAUUAAGGGUGUGUGUCCAUACUGCUGAAUAAAGGGACCACAAAAUAUCA